rnacentral:rRNA from 1 species
AAAUUGAAGAGUUUGAUCAUGGCUCAGAUUGAACGCUGGCGGCAGGCCUAACACAUGCAAGUCGAGCGGUAGCACAGAGAGCUUGCUCUCGGGUGACGAGCGGCGGACGGGUGAGUAAUGUCUGGGAAACUGCCUGAUGGAGGGGGAUAACUACUGGAAACGGUAGCUAAUACCGCAUAACGUCGCAAGACCAAAGUGGGGGACCUUCGGGCCUCAUGCCAUCAGAUGUGCCCAGAUGGGAUUAGCUAGUAGGUGGGGUAACGGCUCACCUAGGCGACGAUCCCUAGCUGGUCUGAGAGGAUGACCAGCCACACUGGAACUGAGACACGGUCCAGACUCCUACGGGAGGCAGCAGUGGGGAAUAUUGCACAAUGGGCGCAAGCCUGAUGCAGCCAUGCCGCGUGUGUGAAGAAGGCCUUCGGGUUGUAAAGCACUUUCAGCGGGGAGGAAGGCGUUAAGGUUAAUAACCUUGGCGAUUGACGUUACCCGCAGAAGAAGCACCGGCUAACUCCGUGCCAGCAGCCGCGGUAAUACGGAGGGUGCAAGCGUUAAUCGGAAUUACUGGGCGUAAAGCGCACGCAGGCGGUCUGUCAAGUCGGAUGUGAAAUCCCCGGGCUCAACCUGGGAACUGCAUUCGAAACUGGCAGGCUAGAGUCUUGUAGAGGGGGGUAGAAUUCCGGUGUAGCGGUGAAAUGCGUAGAGAUCUGGAGCAAUACCGGUGGCGUAGUCGGCCCCUGGACAAAGACUGACGCUCAGGUGCGAAAGCGUGGGGAGCAAACAGGAUUAGAUACCCUGGUAGUCCACGCCGUAAACGAUGUCGAUUUGGAGGUUGUGCCCUUGAGGCGUGGCUUCCGGAGCUAACGCGUUAAAUCGACCGCCUGGGGAGUACGGCCGCAAGGUUAAAACUCAAAUGAAUUGACGGGGCCCGCACAAGCGGUGGAGCAUGUGGUUUAAUUCGAUGCAACGCGAAGAACCUUACCUGGUCUUGACAUCCACAGAACUUUCCAGAGAUGGAUUGGUGCCUUCGGGAACUGUGAGACAGGUGCUGCAUGGCUGUCGUCAGCUCGUGUUGUGAAAUGUUGGGUUAAGUCCCGCAACGAGCGCAACCCUUAUCCUUUGUUGCCAGCGGUUCGGCCGGGAACUCAAAGGAGACUGCCAGUGAUAAACUGGAGGAAGGUGGGGAUGACGUCAAGUCAUCAUGGCCCUUACGACCAGGGCUACACACGUGCUACAAUGGCAUAUACAAAGAGAAGCGACCUCGCGAGAGCAAGCGGACCUCAUAAAGUAUGUCGUAGUCCGGAUUGGAGUCUGCAACUCGACUCCAUGAAGUCGGAAUCGCUAGUAAUCGUAGAUCAGAAUGCUACGGUGAAUACGUUCCCGGGCCUUGUACACACCGCCCGUCACACCAUGGGAGUGGGUUGCAAAAGAAGUAGGUAGCUUAACCUUCGGGAGGGCGCUUACCACUUUGUGAUUCAUGACUGGGGUGAAGUCGUAACAAGGUAACCGUAGGGGAACCUGCGGUUGGAUCACCUCCUUA